UGGGGAAUUUUGCACAAUGGGGGAAACCCUGAUGCAGCGACGCCGCGUGAUUUAGAAGGCCUUCGGGUUGUAAAAAUCUUUUCUAUGGGAAGAAAAUGACAGUACCAUAGGAAUAAGGACCGGCUCAUUACGUGCCAGCAGCCGCGGUAAUACGUAAGGUCCGAGCGUUGUCCGGAAUCAUUGGGCGUAAAGGGUACGUAGGCGGGUAAGCAAGUUAGAAGUGAAAUCCUAUAGCUCAACUAUAGUAAGCUUUUAAAACUGCUCAUCUUGAGGUAUGGAAGGGAAAGUGGAAUUCCUAGUGUAGCGGUGAAAUGCGCAGAUAUUAGGAAGAAUACCGGUGGCGAAGGCGACUUUCUGGCCAUAACCUGACGCUGAGGUACGAAAGCGUGGGUAGCAAACAGG
rnacentral:rRNA from 1 species